UACGAAGGGGGCUAGCGUUGCUCGGAAUCACUGGGCGUAAAGCGCACGUAGGCGGAUUGCUAAGUCAGGGGUGAAAUCCUGGAGCUCAACUCCAGAACUGCCUUUGAUACUGGCGAUCUUGAGUCCGGAAGAGGAGAGUGGAAUUCCUGGUGUAGCGGUGAAAUGCGCAGAUAUCAGGAAGAACACCCGUGGCGAAGGCGGCUCUCUGGGACGGUACUGACGCUGAGACGCGAAAGCGUGGGGAGCGAACAGG
rnacentral:rRNA from 1 species